rnacentral:pre_miRNA from 1 species
AUCUGCCUGGCUCCCUGAAUGCCAUCUAAGAAGUUUGUCAACAUAUCAAUGUUGAUACUUUCUAGUUGGCAUUAGGGGAGUCAUGCAGAU